rnacentral:lncRNA from 1 species
AGUUUAUGAUAAUGCUAUUUUGCUGAGAGAAGUUGUUCCUACAAGUUUAUCAACUGCUUGAUCUUAUAGACCCCUAGUAGGGUCUGACUGCUUGAUCUUAUAGACCCCUAGUAGGGUCUGACUGAAUCUUUCUAAAGAUAACAUCAUUUGUCUGACUACUGACGGACUGUCCCUAGAGCAAAUGACAAAGGACUUGGUAGUUGGUACCCGAAACUUAAGUUCGAAUCCUAAUCGAUUCAUAUUUCUAGCUAAGUUUAUUUUUAAAUGAAAUAAACGAAGCGGGUAGCGGGCUACUUAUUUCUCCAAAAAAAGAUAACAUCAUUUGUUACCUCCCAAGUUACCUAUAUUAUUA